rnacentral:snRNA from 1 species
GCUGCGGCAGCACAUACUAAAAUCGGAACAAUACAGAGAAGAUUAGCAUGGCCCCUGCACAAGGAUGACUCACAAUUUGUGAAGUGUUCCAUAUUUUG